UACAGAGGUCCCAAGCGUUGUUCGGAUUCAUUGGGCGUAAAGGGUGCGUAGGUGGCGCCGUAAGUGGGGUGUGAAAUUUCGGAGCUUAACUCCGAAGCUGCAUUCCAUACUGCGGUGCUUGAGGACUGGAGAGGAGACUGGAAUUUACGGUGUAGCAGUGAAAUGCGUAGAGAUCGUAAGGAAGACCAGUGGCGAAGGCGGGUCUCUGGACAGUUCCUGACACUGAGGCACGAAGGCCAGGGGAGCAAACGGG
rnacentral:rRNA from 1 species